AAUCUGAAUACCUAACCUGCUACCGGACGUAAACAUGAUUUAUGUGGAAUUUAAAAGCAGUCCUACCCAUCUAUCAAUUCCUGUAAACCCGAAGCCAAUUUCCGUAAAUCCCAAACAUUUUCAGUUUCCUUCUGACUGGCAGAUGGGAUGUUAUUCACACGGAAUUCCCCUGUUUGGAAAACAAAGCCCUCAACGUUCAGUAAAUCAGCCAGUCACUCGGCGGAGAAGGCAAGGGGACAGAUGCACGUGCAGCCAGCUCCCGUGUUGGAGCCUGCAGUAAUUAAAGACAUCCAUCAGAUUAUGACAGUGGUGUCUGGAAGCAUUGCACUGUGGGACCCAUAAUGUGACCAGGGUAACCAUGACAACUGCAAUCAAACGCAGCGAUGAUGUUCCACAUGAAGAUUCCUCUCGUUUCCUGGUGCGUUAUGACUCACUUACGAACUAUGUGUGCGCUGUACUGAGACACAGAACAUCAGAGGUGUUCAAAUCGUUACAUUUCCUUCACUUUGAUUGUCGUUUGUUAUGGUCUGAAUGCUGCUGAUGCAAACUUUCCCUCUGUUUCACCUGUUACUUUCCAUUGUUUUGUAUUCUACUGUAAUGUUGAGGAUUCAUAUCAAAUCAUUACUGUUUGUAAUGGCCACCAUUGACUUCAAGAUGGGUGAGGUUUGCAAUGUUCUGACAGGAAUGUAGUCAAGUGUUUCUAACUCAAGUACAUUGUGCAUGCUGUACUGUGCAUUGUCUAUCUAGAGACACUGUGCAUGACACCUACUGCACAUAGGAUAGUAUUAAAACACUGGAAUGUA